rnacentral:rRNA from 1 species
GUGGGGAAUAUUGGACAAUGGGCGAAAGCCUGAUCCAGCCAUGCCGCGUGUGUGAAGAAGGUCUUCGGAUUGUAAAGCACUUUAAGUUGGGAGGAAGGGCAGUAAGUUAAUACCUUGCUGUUUUGACGUUACCGACAGAAUAAGCACCGGCUAACUUCGUGCCAGCAGCCGCGGUAAUACGAAGGGUGCAAGCGUUAAUCGGAAUUACUGGGCGUAAAGCGCGCGUAGAUGGUUUUGUAAGUUGGAGGUGAAAUCCCCGGGCUCAACCUGGGAACUGCAUCCAAAACUGCAUGACUAGAGUACGGUAGAGGGUAGUGGAAUUUCCUGUGUAGCGGUGAAAUGCGUAGAUAUAGGAAGGAACACCAGUGGCGAAGGCGACUACCUGGACUGAUACUGACACUGAGGUGCGAAAGCGUGGGGAGCAAACAGGAUUAGAAACCCGUGUAGUCC